CGUCUAGUAGUUGACAGUGAGCGUUGGGGUAACGACCCUGCUGAAUGAGCUAGUCAUUCAUGAAGUAAACACGAAAUUACAAAAUGAAGUGUUUAUCAUACCAUUUCGUUCAGUUGUUUAAGAGCUAUUAACGCUCAAAAUCUCGGUCUCCAGUGUAACGCUUUCGUUCUCGAAACUUUGGUUUUACACCCCAGUAUAGAAAUGAAAGACGUAGUCCUACGUCAAUAUGUAAACAAACCGUUGCAUAUUUUCUCUGUAAUUAAUAUACUGAUUUCUCGAAAACUUGUACCGUGUUUAUCUUACAAUUAGUGGGAAUUGUUGAAAAAUAGUUUUUCUUAGCUGUUUCGAUGCUCCGAACCAAAAUUUAUUGUCAUUUAGUAGUGAAAAAAAGCCGUUGAAGUACACCCUCUGUCAAUCUACCUGCGAGAGAGAACGUGUGAAAUAUGGACGUCAAAAGCUGCGCAAAUUGCCCGGAGAACAUGCAAGUCGGACGAAAUUUGCUUGAAGCUGACUCCGAACAAUCUGCAAAAUUCAAAAGCCGUAUUGUUUGUGUCGUCCCCGGAUGUAAGCAGAGAUAUCGCCCCGGAAUUUCUUUUCAUGCCUUCCCUCCGAAAACGGACAAAUCGCGCCUCCAUUUCACCGUGUCGAACUUCUACUCUCCAAGUAUUCACAUUCACAUUUUCGCACUUUUGAAAAAGUGUGAAACAGUCCAACUUGGUGCAAAACGUGCAAUAAUAAAGAAAUAAAAUAAAACACACUUAAGCAAAUGAUACAAAACA